rnacentral:lncRNA from 1 species
GGGCGCGUUUGGUUCGAAGUCGGAGUCGGAAUCGGAAUCGAAAUCAAAAUAAGCUGGAAUCGGAAUCGGAAUGACUCAUUAUCUAAUUCUGUUUGGUUCAUCACCUGAAUCGGAAUCGAAAUAAAUAAUUUCCAUUGUUGGUGUUUGGUUCAGGUGGAUAUAAAAAACGUAAUCAAAUUAGUAUAUUAACAUUAUUUUUAUAAUAUAUUAAUUUAAAUUCAAAUUAAAUAUUAAAUAUUAAAAAAUUACAUCAAAAUUUUGAAAUAAUGUCAAAAUUUUAAAUCUAUGUUUUUUUUAAAAAAAUUA